GAGUUUGAUCGUGGCUCAGAUUGAACGCUGGCGGCAUGCCUUACACAUGCAAGUCGAACGGCAGCAUGAUCUAGCUUGCUAGAUUGAUGGCGGAGUGGCGAACGGGUGAGUAAUACAUCGGAACGUGCCCUGUAGUGGGGAUAACUAGUCGAAAGAUUAGCUAAUACCGCAGUACGACCUGACGGGUGAAAGUGGGGGACCGCAAGGCCUCAUGCUAUAGGAGCGGCCGAUGUCUGAUUA
rnacentral:rRNA from 1 species